AAGGCUUCCCUGAAGGUCACCUCCUCCCGACCUUCACGGAACGACCGGCACCUCCUCCUCCCGGAUGUCGGUCACCCAAAACGACACCCGCCGAACCUCCUCCCUCGGCGGGUGUUGUUU
rnacentral:sRNA from 1 species